GCCACGCGCCGACCAUCGCACGGUCCUCCCUGAUGGUUAAGAGCACACCCCUCGACCCCGGAACCCUAGCACCCCCACUUCCUUUCCCUCGCGCCGCUAUUACCCUCUCCUCCUCUGUCUCGUUCACCCGAGCGCGGUCUCUGAGCGCGUCGCCAUCGAUCCCGCGGCCGUCGACGUCUCUGGUGCACGGGAGCACAUCCAGGAGGUCUGACGUGGUUGUCUUCGUCCGUUCUGCGUACCAGAUCGAGCCGGAGACCACCACAGCACAAGGAUCGACAUCAUCUACGACCUUCGGGCACCGCGACACCAUUGACAGAUUCGUCACCGUCACUGCACCCCAGGCCUCCUCGAGCUCGCCCCUGGAACCGCGACCCCGAGAUCGCUGUGAUCCAGUGAUCGACUACUUCACUGCCGAGGGUCCGUAUCUGUCUACAGAGCUUCCAGAUGAUGGAUUCCAGGAGCCAGACGACGCCUCUGAUGACUACUACUAUCCCAAGGGUGCCUACUACUACGUGAAGACCACCGAUGACUAGGAGUAGUUCGGAGGCUCCCAGGUAGGAGACCUUGCCUUUUCGAUCGAUGUUGUUUUUGUGCUAGCCUUCUUGAGGAAAACUUGUUUAACUUAUGUCUGUACUCAGAUAUUGCUGCUUUCGUUGACUCUUGCGUAUUCGAGCUUAUGUAUUCGAGCCCUCGAGCCCCCUGGUUUGUAAUAUAAAGCUUGUAUUAUUUUAAUUUGUGUCUACAAUUGUGUUGUAAUAUCUACCCGUGAGUCCUU
rnacentral:rRNA from 1 species